CCUACGGGUGGCUGCAGUAACGAAUCUUCCGCAAUGCGCGAAAGCGUGACGGGGCAAUGCCGCGUGCAGGAUGAAGCCCUUCGGGGUGUAAACUGCUGUCAGGGUGCAGGAAUGAAAUGACCAUACCCAAAGGAAGCACCGGCUAACUCUGUGCCAGCAGCCGCGGUAAUACAGAGGGUGCGAGCGUUAAUCGGAAUCACUGGGCUUAAAGGGUGCGUAGGCGGAUGCAUAGGCGCUUUGUGAAAUCCCACGGCUCAACCGUGGAAUUGCUUGGC
rnacentral:rRNA from 1 species